GGAGGGUGCGAGCGUUGUCCGGAAUCACUGGGCGUAAAGGGCGCGUAGGCGGCCGUGUAAGUCACUUGUGAAAUCCCGGGGCUCAACUCCGGGGCUGCAGGUGAGACUGCGUGGCUAGAGCACGGUAGAGGCGAGUGGAAUUCCCGGUGUAGCGGUGGAAUGCGUAGAUAUCGGGAAGAACACCGGUGGCGAAGGCGGCUCGCUGGGCCGUUGCUGACGCUGAGGCGCGAAAGCGUGGGGAGCAAACAGGAUUAGAUACCCUGGUAGUCCACGCCGUAAACGAUGGGUACUAGGCGUCGGGGGGAGCGACCCUCCCGGUGCCGUCGCUAACGCAGUAAGUACCCCGCCUGGGGAGUACGGUCGCAAGACUG
rnacentral:rRNA from 1 species